rnacentral:rRNA from 1 species
GACGAACGCUGGCGGCGUGCUUAACACAUGCAAGUCGAACGGAAAGGCCCUGCUUUUGUGGGGUGCUCGAGUGGCGAACGGGUGAGUAACACGUGAGUAACCUGCCCUUGACUUUGGGAUAACUUCAGGAAACUGGGGCUAAUACCGGAUAGGAGCUCCUGCUGCAUGGUGGGGGUGGGAAAUUUUCGGCGGUUGGGGAUGGACGCGCGGCUUAUCAGCUGGUUGGUGGGGUAGUGGCUUACCAAGGUUUUGACGGGUAGCCGGCCUGAGAGGGUGACCGGCCACAUUGGGACUGAGAUACGGCCCAGACUCCUACGGGAGGCAGCAGUGGGGAAUAUUGCACAAUGGGCGGAAGCCUGAUGCAGCAACGCCGCGUGCGGGAUGACGGCCUUCGGGUUGUAAACCGCUUUCGCCUGUGACGAAGCGUGAGUGACGGUAAUGGGUAAAGAAGCACCGGCUAACUACGUG